AAUCCUGAAACCAGCAAUCACAAAGUCAGUUCCUCAUCAAGAGAUCAAAGUCAUUCAUUUUGGAUACAAUCAUAUUUUCAGGCUAAAGGGAAGGUUGGGAAGGUCAGGCAUUAGAAUGCUGGAGGAGUGUCCUUGGCAGAGAAGGACUAAGCCAGUGGAUCACAAACAUCCUGGAGAGCAGUGACUCUGUGAUUCCAUCACAAGAAUAUGAAGGACUGAGAAGAUCUCCAGCUCUGCCCAUUGCACCUUCCCAUUGAGAAGCAGCAUGGCACCCUGGUGGCAGGGGCUGAUACUCAGCCGGGCCAGGGUGCUCUCCUGUUAACCAUAACCAAGCUCACAGGACAUGGGAUGAGCCCACUGUGUGACACAGGGAGCGGGACACAGUCUGUUAAGUCUUGCACAGCCAUGCUCUGCCACGCAGGCAGGCCUUUCCUUGGCCUCCCUCUCCCUGUUCGUGCUCAUGUGAACAUCCACCUACGUGGAUAGACUGGGCUUUGGUUCAUUAUUGCUCUGUGAAUUCCUCGAACUUCCGCAUCUGCCCAACCUCCCCCACCCCAUUGUUUUCAUUGUGUUUCACCAAAUGGAAAUUCUAGAGUAAGCAUGUGAGUCCUCUCCCAAACUUGUUCACUGUUGAGAGUGCUAAAAUGCUAACCCCAGAUGCUAACUGAGGGGUAGGGUUACCUUAUCUUUAGAGCACUGCGAAUUGUAUGUUAAGUGGAACUUAAUGAAAAAAUAGUUAAUUGACCAACAUGAAUAUCCCCUGAACAGAAUCUCCCCUGAACAGAAUCCUACAAUGAAACUAAGGGAGAUAAAUAAAGCUGUUUACCUGAAAGCUCUCUCUAAUCAAGAUCCUUUGAAAUUUAUAAAACAUGGUCAAUAUUUGCACUGGACUUUGUAAAAAUAAAGCUUGAUAAGAGAAGAGUUUGAAGUGAAAUGCUGCCACUUUCUAUGCAAUAUUUGAUUUAAAUUUAAUUCCUAGAAACCUCAGAUGAAUGUGGUUCAUGUAUCAAAGCACUCAGCAUUAUUUAUCGCGGCCUUAAAUACACAGUGAGCUUACAUGUGAAUGAAUACAUAUAUUAUGUAUCUCUCUCUAUAUAUAUACUAUAUAGAUAAUAUAGUAUAUAUAUAUAUAUAGUGUAUAUAUACACUAUAUAUAUCGUGUAUACAUAUACUAU
rnacentral:lncRNA from 1 species